UACGUAGGAUGCGAGCGUUGUUCGGAAUUACUGGGCGUAAAGAGUACGUAGGCGGUGAUGUAAGUCUGAUAUUAAAGCCAGUGGCUCAACCACUGUAGUGUAUCGGAGACUGCAUUGCUAGAGGGUAAUAGAGGAAAUCGGAAUUCUCAGUGUAGCGGUGAAAUGCGUAGAUAUUGGGAAGAACACCGGCGGCGAAAGCGGAUUUCUGGGUUACUACUGACGCUGAGGUACGAAAGCGUGGGGAGCAAACGGG
rnacentral:rRNA from 1 species